rnacentral:rRNA from 1 species
GAUCCUGACUCAGGAUGAACGCUGGCGGCGUGCUUAACACAUGCAAGUCGAACGGGGAAUACUUUAUUGAAACUUCGGUCGAUUUAAUCUAUUUCUAGUGGCGGACGGGUGAGUAACGCGUGGGUAACCUGCCUUAUACUGGGGGAUAACAGCCAGAAAUGACUGCUAAUACCGCAUAAGCGCACGGGGCCGCAUGGUCCUGUGUGAAAAACUCCGGUGGUAUAAGAUGGACCCGCGUUGGAUUAGCUAGUUGG